GAUGAAGAACGUAGCGAAAUGCGAUAAGUAAUGUGAAUUGCAGAAUUCAGUGAAUCAUCGAAUCUUUGAACGCACCUUGCACCCUUUGGCAUUCCGAAGGGUAUGCUCGUUUGAGUGUCAUUGUACUCUCACACUUCCGAUCUUUGGAUUGGGAGCGGUGGACUUGGGUGUUGCUGCUUGCUGUGGCUCACCUCAAAUCGAUUCGUGCACCUCUUGGUUGGACAUAGUACGGCGUGAUAAGUGUCUUCGCCGGCACCUCAGUAGAGGGUGGCUGAUCGGGAGCUCUGCUUCAAACCGUCCUCGGACAACAACUGACAACUUGACCUCAAAUCGAGUAGGACUACCCGCUGAACUUAAGCAUAUCAAUAAGCGGAGGA
rnacentral:misc_RNA from 1 species